ensembl:lncRNA
ACUACACAUCUUUGAAGCAGGAGUUGCAAGUUUGAUUCCCACCCAGUAUCCAGUAAUGAUCCUGGCUUCACCCCUCAUGCUAACCAAAAAACCCUGGAAUGGCGUGGCUUUGUCUGCAGCACACACACAAGAACAUUUCACUACACAUCGUUCUCUGUAUGAUACUGUAUAUGUUUGUUGGAGCAUGCAUCAAGACAGUUUAAAAAUUCACAUUUUUAUUUAUUAUGGCAGAAUGAUUGAUAGGACCAGAUGGCCGUGCAGUAUAAAGUGAUCUGGGAGAAACACCACUGUAUAUCAGUGAAGCAGCAACAUGUUUUUGUGGUGUUGCACUUUGUAGACGGUCCCUGAGCACUUCUCUCAAACUCAGCUGCACCUGGAGACAAGCAGGGUUUCUUUCACCUCCACCUUAAUGUUGGGAUUCAGAUGCUGAUGGUGUUCUGAUAACCUUUCUUAUCUGUUAUUGAUCCAGUUCAAAUAUGUGGCAUUAUUUCAAACUUAUGUGGUUCUUUCAAUAAACUCAAACCAAAUGGAGGCUCUGCUCUUUCCACGGUGAAUCACGCACCCACGCCCUGGAGGGUUUAUCAACUUCAAGUUCAGCCUCUGAGCAUGUUGAACCAGUUUACUGGAUCACAGCCCAGCAGGAAAUCCUCUCUGUUCGUUAGCAGUGAGGCAGGAAUGGCAGAGUUUUGAGAUGUGGAUUCACUCAGUUAUGAGCGGAGUGAUCAGGACUCUGUGUUUGCUGUCCUUCUUUGAAGGAUGAUGAAAAACUUGCUGCCGUUCCUGCUCCUCGAACAGUUUCCAUCCUGGGCCACAGCUCUCCUGGUUCUCCUGGUUCUCCUUGUUCUUCUUGUGGUUUCUGGAGGUCUUCUUUUUUAUUUCCGGCACUAUUUCAUGUCAGAUUAUAAGGUGGAGGUGGAUUCAGGGGUGGAGUCUGUCCAGCUGCCCUGCAAAACCACAGUUAACCUGCCUAAAGAUGCUAAAGUGGAGUGGAAGAACAAAAACAACAGGAAGGUCCACGUGUAUCAGAACGGCUCUGACCAGCUUGAAGAACAGCAUAAUUUUUACAGAGGGCGAACAAAGAUGAAGAGAAACUUACUGGAACCUGGAGACCUCAGUCUGAUCCUGAAACCCCCCACAGACACAGACACCUACACCUGCACCGUCUACAACAACAGGGGGGAGAUUCUGAUGAAAAAAGAAGUGCUGCUCAUUGUCAGAGGUCAGUGCUGUAGAUACAGGUCAAAAGUCAGAGAUCAGACUUAUGGAUAAGACAACGACCAAAUCCACCUGAAAAGUCUGCAAAAAGAAUUUUCACCUUUUCACAGUGGGGACUUUGAGUAAGCCCUAGUAAAUAAUUUUAGAGUAUAUGUACUUUACAUAUUCUAAUUUUAAAAUUAUUAUUUUGCUAGCUAGCAAACUCCGCGGAUAAAUUUUUGAAAUGCACUGAGUGUGAUGCAAUACAGCGCUAUUAUAGCAGUUAGUUAUGGCAUAACAGCAAUGUUAGCCAGGUACUUAACUAGCCAACUUAAGGCAUUCUGAUUACAGGCUCAAAGUGAAGUUGUCA